AACGAACGCUGGCGGCAGGCCUAACACAUGCAAGUCGAACGGGACCUUCGGGUCUAGUGGCGGACGGGUGAGUAACGCGUGGGAACGUGCCCUUUGGUUCGGAAUAGCCUCGGGAAACUGGGAGUAAUACCGGAUACGGUCGAGAGACGAAAGAUUUAUCGCCGAAGGAUCGGCCCGCGUUGGAUUAGGUAGUUGGUGGGGUAAAGGCCUACCAAGCCGACGAUCCAUAGCUGGUUUGAGAGGAUGAUCAGCCACACUGGGACUGAGACACGGCCCAGACUCCUACGGGAGGCAGCAGUGGGGAAUCUUAGACAAUGGGGGAAACCCUGAUCCAGCAAUGCCGCGUGAGUGAUGAAGGCCUUAGGGUUGUAAAGCUCUUUUACCCGGGAUGAUAAUGACAGUACCGGGAGAAUAAGCUCCGGCUAAACUCCGUGCCAGCAGCCGCGGUAAAGUGACUACUG
rnacentral:rRNA from 1 species